AUUGAACGCUGGCGGCAGGCCUAACACAUGCAAGUCGAGCGGAUGAAGGGAGCUUGCUCCUGGCUUCAGCGGCGGACGGGUGAGUAAUGCCUAGGAAUCUGCCUGGUCGCGGGGGAUAACGUCCGGAAACGGGCGCUAAUACCGAAUACGUCCUGAGGGAGAAAGUGGGGGAUGUUCGGACUUCACGCUAUCAGAUGAGCCUAGGUCGGAUUAGCUAGUUGGUGGGGUAAAGGCCUACCAAGGCGACGACCCGUAACUGGUCUGAGAGGAUGAUCAGUCACGCUGGAACUGAGACGCGGUCCAGACUCCUACGGGAGGCAGCAGUGGGGAAUAUUGGACGAUGGGCGGAAGCCUGAACCAGCCAUGCCGCGUGUAUGAAGAAGGUCUUCGGAUUGUAAAGCACUUUUAGUUUGGAAGAAGGGCAGUAAGUUAAUACCUUGCUGUUUUGACGUUACCAACAGAAUAAGCACCGGCUAACUUCGUG
rnacentral:rRNA from 1 species